rfam:Ictidomys tridecemlineatus contig066446, whole genome shotgun sequence.
GGGAAUGUAGCUCACUGGUACAGCAUUUGUCUAGCAUACACAAGGCCCUAGGUUCAAACCCCAGCAUUACCA